CUAAAUUAAAUUAAAAGUUAUUAACUUUUUAACUUUAUUAUUAACUUUCAACUUUUUAACUAGUUAUUAUUAUCCAACCCUGGAAAGUGUUACAUAAAGCAUGGACUACACAACGCGAAUCGAUAGUGAAUCCAACUGUAUAACACAAAAUAAAUGAAAAAUAACAAAUUGUCGAUCAAUUAUGUCUUUUUCUAGUCAUGAGAAAAACAAAGACAGAGUUAAUUGGCGGCCAUUGCUCUCGCUCUUUUUUCUAAACCUAGUUUUGCAUAUUAUAAAUAAUAUAGAGAUGGCGCAGUCCAUGCUCUAAGUCGAUGGUAUUAUCUUGUAAACAGCCAUAUUGUAUCUGCCAUUUUAAAUUUUAAUAUUAUUUUUAUUAUUCAAUUUUAAAUCUGUAACAAAACCUAUAAACCUAAAUUUACUGCAAAAAUAUCCAGAUUUUCACAAAUUUACUAACUGAUGGCGGCCAUAUUAGAUCUCUAGCUGUUGUAUUGAAUUUGCAAAAUCUGAAUUCUGAUUCGGAAUCAACGAUUCAAAAAACGUAUGUAUGCAAAAUUUCAAGAAAGUCUGCUGAAAGAAACCUAAUUCCGCAAUCAAAGAGUUAAAAUAAUGUAUCUUUUCUGUGAAAAUUGCUUAUUUCUUAUAACUUUCUUAUAAAUUUAUUUCUAUAAAAUUUAUUAAUUUUUUAUAACUUUUUGACGAAAUUUCACCCUACCUCCCAAAUAAUAAAAUAGUAUAGAAAAUUCGAAUAAAAUAGUAGGAUUAAUUACAAAGUGAGAAUAAAUUCUAUUAUAUAUAUGUGAUUUUUUGAAUCAAACUGUACAAAAAUUGUCUUCCAGACUCUGAGGUAUCAAAAUACUUACCGUUUAGAGGCUUACAAAUCUUUCAAUUGCGAAGUUGUUGAUAAGAUUUUGAUCGAUGCAUGAUUAUUUAGCCGGCUUGAAAUCAGCCUCAGGUUUGCAUGCAAAUCUGCCAGAGAAUGUCACAAGUGUGCGACAAAAUUUACAGGAAGUAUUACAAUAGAUACAAAGUUGUAGUCAUUAUGUCGAUCAUUCAAAAGUUGGGUCAAAGGGUGUGAAUAGAUUUUGGUAAAUUAUGAAACGUUCAGAAAGAUACGUACUCGACUCACGUGAUCGAAACUCAGGAAUUUGCUGCGAUGGGCCUUGUCGUUGGGACUUAUUACGAGUGAAUGAAUAUUUAAAAAAAAAAUUGAUAGAGGGCAAUGAGCAAUAAGCUUUAACACAAUUAAUUAUAAAUUAAACAAAAAAAUAUUUUAAACAAAAUUUAAAAAAUAAAAGUAUGUAAAUAAAAUUAAGAUGGAUUAAUGGAAAAAACGUAUUGUAAUAAUUGGCUCGAUCCGAAUGUUCGUCCAUGUUAUGCUUGAAGAAAGGAUCAUUGAUCCACACACACACAAACUAGAUCACGUGUGUUCACUUUUUCUUUAUUGUUAUUAAAUUAAUAUAUAUAUCAUUCGUAUAUAUAUAUUUAUAUAUUUAUAUAUAUUUAUAUAUUUAUAUAUUUAUAUGUGUAUGUAUAUAACAGCGACAAGUACAAUGUAAUGUUAUGAUUAUUAAAAAUAAUCGAGAGAGCACCGAUGAGUCUAAUGAAGAACCGAGGGAUGAGAUAAUUAUUGUAAUGAUAUAUUAACAAUGGCAACCAUAAUAAUGAUGAUAAUAAUGAUGAUUUAAUAAUAAUAAGUUGAUCAAUCUUUAAUUAAUACAGUCGUAUAUUCCCUUAAAGUCCGUCCUUAAUACUUAUAUCGCGCUUUUAUAGAUACAGGGAUACAGAAAAAUAAUACCGCGCGGCCGUGGUGGAAUGUUUUUUUUAAGUCGUAUAUAAUAUACAUAUAUAUAUGUAUAAUAUUUAUAUAAAAGAGGCGCGAGAGCCUUAAUUAAUUAAUUACAAGCCGGCGCUAUCGUUGCACCGGCGCCCGUUUUAUUUACACCGCCAAAUUAGGCGAACUUCGAGAGACUGAUAAAAAUCUGUUAUGCGAAAUCAAAUCGUUAAAUAUGAUUCGUGACUUCGAAGCCACAGCGCCAGAACGCAAAACUGUGUAAGCGUUGUUAAAUAAAAUUGUAAAGUUUGCUUUACAUCUUUAAUUCAUAAGUUCCCCCAUUAAUUACAUAAUUUCAUAAUUUUAUAAUUUUAUAAAUUAAGUUUUUGUCGUUUGUUAAGAAUAUUUAAAGAAAAAAGCAUUUUGCCAUUUGACGGUUUGGAUUCUACUGAAUGAUUACACUACGUUUUGAUAAAGGAGAUCACAAAAAAAGAAAUCCCAAUUGUUUGAAUGAACAGCACCAGUUCGACCAUUGUUUCGUAAAUCACAAAGGAAGACGAAUACAUUAAUGCAGAAACUUUAUGUCGGUCAGUUUUAACAGAACAAUGAAAAGUUUACUUAAAACCAUUUAGCUGGUUCUUGACUUCGAAGACUAAGAUUCUUAUUUUGCAGAAGAGAAUUUUUAUGAGUUUUCCUCUCUGAGUUUGCCCACUUCUCGCGGAGUCCCCUCCAUAUUAAUUAGGAUUAAUCGUAGCUUUUACUUACAAUCCUAUCUGCCGAUCAAUUUUACACGCACGAGCUGCACUAUGUAGAUCCUUGGUCCAUUUUUGACGCAUACAUUUAUUUACAAGGGCGGUGAUUCGCCGCAUUCGCAAAAAUUACAAGUCAACCGCGCAAUCGGUAAAAUCUGGACUUUACUAAGAUAAUUUCCUCCGCUUUACGCUUUUGUAAAAUAAAAAAUUAUCAAUUAUAAAUGAAAUAUAAUAUAUAUGUUAUAUAAAUGUAAAAUAAAAUUAAAUACAAAAUUUUAUUUGUAAUAAAAAAUGAUUGACAAUGAAAAGUAAUAAUAUUUAAUUCUUGAUAAUUAUGUAAACUAUCAAAAUAUGUGAAUUUUAUACCAGCGUGAAACUUUUCCUAAAUUAAGACAAAAAGUUUUAAUAAAAAUAAAAUAAAUAAAUACAACUAUGUAAAACAGAUAUUUUUCAAAAAAUUUCUUGGACUUUCGAAGAACUUUUUAAUACAUUUACAAUGACUCUUUAAAUAAAGUAUUAUUUAUUAUUAUUUACAAAGUUUAAUCUUAAACUGACAUUACCACAAUAUCUUUGGAAUUUUUAACUUUCUUGGGAAAACUAUCUUGGGAAAAACUAAAUGUCAAAUCAUAAAGCAAUUAAAAACAAGUUUGAAAGCAACAUGAUUCUAUUAUUCGAAAUGUUAUUGCUUGAAUUUUAUUCCUACCUACUUUGUUUAUGA